rnacentral:rRNA from 1 species
GUCUAUAGCCAUGCCAGCCUGAACACACUCAAUUGUCUGAUCUUGGAAGCUAAGCAGGGUCAGGCUUGGUUAGUAUUUGGAUGAGAGAAAUAUUAUGUGAGCCA